CACGGAUAACAUACCGAAAGGUAUGCUAAUACGGGAUAAUAUAUUUGAGAGGCAUCUCUUGAAUAUCAAAGGUGAGCCAGUACAGGAUGGACCCGCGUCUGAUUAGCUAGUUGGUAAGGUAAAGGCUUACCAAGGCGACGAUCAGUAGCCGACCUGAGAGGGUGAUCGGCCACAUUGGAACUGAGACACGGUCCAAACUCCUACGGGAGGCAGCAGUGGGGAAUAUUGCACAAUGGGCGAAAGCCUGAUGCAGCAACGCCGCGUGAGUGAUGAAGGCCUUCGGGUCGUAAAACUCUGUCCUCAAGGAAGAUAAUGACGGUACUUGAGGAGGAAGCCCCGGCUAACUACGUGCCAGCAGCCGCGGUAAUACGUAGGGGGCUAGCGUUAUCCGGAUUUACUGGGCGUAAAGGGUGCGUAGGCGGUCUUUCAAGUCAGGAGUGAAAGGCUACGGCUCAACCGUAGUAAGCUCUUGAAACUGGGAGACUUGAGUGCAGGAGAGGAGAGUGGAAUUCCUAGUGUAGCGGUGAAAUGCGUAGAUAUUAGGAGGAACACCAGUUGCGAAGGCGGCUCUCUGGACUGUAACUGACGCUGAGGCACGAAAGCGUGGGGAGCAAACAGGAUUAGAUACCCUGGUAGUCCACGCUGUAAACGAUGAGUACUAGGUGUCGGGGGUUACCCCCUUCGGUGCCGCAGCUAACG
rnacentral:rRNA from 1 species